GGAAAGGGUGGUAUGUAGGACAACUUUUCAAACAAGGAGACAGAACCAUGUGUGCAUCAUGAAAUCAAUUUGCUCCUAAU
rnacentral:lncRNA from 1 species